AAAAGCUCGAGGCAAAUUCAUUAGCGCAGUCAGUGCGUAACCUGCUCUGGGAAACUGGGGGGCUACAGUCCACGCAAAUAAGAGGAAACAAUGGCUCCUCAGUUCAAGUCCAACAAAAGACCUGGCCAACUUGUUUGAAUUUCCGAGCACGUCCAUUCUUUCUCUCUCGCAGAGAAGGAGAGAUUCUGCACCCCACCCCACCCCCAAUACCCCCCACCCCAAACCCAACCCAACACUAAAAAAAAAUCAUGCCAUGCCAACCCUUCUCUGCUCAACAGUGCACUUUUUCCCAUUUGAUGCUGUAGACAAAUAGGUUAUGGGAAACUUCUCGACCCCUCCUCUCUGUCUCCCCCCAUCUCGCGCUGUCUCAGUCUCUCACACACUCUCGCGCUGUCUCUAGCGCGCGUGGACUACCGGAGCAGGGAAGCACGCGUAAUGAGCUAAGUAUUAGCGGCAAUUUUGAACCACAUGCGCACAGUGUGGACUGGUUGGUCAAACGGCGUUUUGCGCAACGAGAACGGAUACUGAACGGUUGGAAAGACGUUCGGAGAGAAAAAGACGGGAAAUAUGACCAUAACUGACCAGUGGAAGAGAGGGAGGCAAAAUGGAGCUGUCUGCUUUAUCCUGCAAUAAAAUCCACUAUAAGGUGAGAAGAGAUGGGAGAUGGGGUCACAGAAGAGAUGGAUUGCGCACUGUGCCGAGAGUAAAGGUGAGGAUCAUCACUAAAUGAAGACUUCAAUCCAUGUACAGAUUUCUCCCGGAUCCGAGGGACACUUCUUCAGCUUUGUCUUGAUGGAUGGAUUGUCUUCAUGGAGAGUUUUCUGGAUUAUGUGUACUCGUUUACUGAGUGCAAACCAUAUUCCAUAGCAGCGGAACUGGAAUUAAUCCAUAAUGGCAUCUGGCUUGACACAAGAUACAUGACUUGAAUGUUGUAUACAUGCGAAAUCACUAUGCAAUGUAUGAUUUUACUGCUACUCCUUGUACAAAUAUUUUGGAUCAAAAAUUACUUGAAUAUGUUUGCACUAUAAAGUUUAUUUAUACAAUAAAUUGUUUCUUUUUCUAGAAGGACAUUUGCAGAGUGUGAUUUGUUUUUCUGAUUUGUAGAUGAUGGAAUUUAUAAUGUGGUGGAUAUUAAAAUGAUCAGUCUUUGGUUGA